AUAGUUUAUUCCCACCUCCAGCAGCCCAUGAGAGAAAGUUUUAAUGAGUGUAAUGUCUGCUUGAGAUCUGCUGUACUUUCUUGACCCAUUUGGAUGUGGUGCUCCAGGACAUGAUUUAGUGGAAACAAAUGCUAAGGAUGAUAGUGCAGCUGCUGUGCACCUGUGUAAUCACUGACCUUGGUGGCAUAGUAGUUCCAUGUCAAGGAUAUGAGAAGGAAGAUGUUACCUUGAGAUUUGUACAUGCACGUCUGCCAGCACAGUUGCCAGUUUUCCUUUAUGUUAAUUUGCCAGCAGCCGGA
rnacentral:lncRNA from 1 species